rnacentral:rRNA from 1 species
UCGCUCCUACCGAUUUGAGUGAUCCGGUGAGCCUUUUGGACCGAGGCUGCUUCGGCAGUUUUGGAAAAUCAAGCAAACCACAUCACUUAGAGGAAGGAG